rnacentral:rRNA from 1 species
GGUUAAGCGACUAAGCGUACACGGUGGAUGCCCUGGCAGUCAGAGGCGAUGAAGGACGUGCUAAUCUGCGAUAAGCGUCGGUAAGGUGAUAUGAACCGUUAUAACCGGCGAUUUCCGAAUGGGGAAACCCAGUGUGUUUCGACACACUAUCAUUAACUGAAUCCAUAGGUUAAUGAGGCGAACCGGGGGAACUGAAACAUCUAAGUACCCCGAGGAAAAGAAAUCAACCGAGAUUCCCCCAGUAGCGGCGAGCGAACGGGGAGCAGCCCAGAGCCUGAAUCAGUGUGUGUGUUAGUGGAAGCGUCUGGAAAGGCGCGCGAUACAGGGUGACAGCCCCGUACACAAAAAUACACAUACUGUGAGCUCGAUGAGUAGGGCGGGACACGUGGUAUCCUGUCUGAAUAUGGGGGGACCAUCCUCCAAGGCUAAAUACUCCUGACUGACCGAUAGUGAACCAGUACCGUGAGGGAAAGGCGAAAAGAACCCCGGCGAGGGGAGUGAAAAAGAACCUGAAACCGUGUACGUACAAGCAGUGGGAGCACGCUUAGGCGUGUGACUGCGUACCUUUUGUAUAAUGGGUCAGCGACUUAUAUUCUGUAGCAAGGUUAACCGAAUAGGGGAGCCGAAGGGAAACCGAGUCUUAACUGGGCGUUAAGUUGCAGGGUAUAGACCCGAAACCCGGUGAUCUAGCCAUGGGCAGGUUGAAGGUUGGGUAACACUAACUGGAGGACCGAACCGACUAAUGUUGAAAAAUUAGCGGAUGACUUGUGGCUGGGGGUGAAAGGCCAAUCAAACCGGGAGAUAGCUGGUUCUCCCCGAAAGCUAUUUAGGUAGCGCCUCGUGAAUUCAUCUCCGGGGGUAGAGCACUGUUUCGGCAAGGGGGUCAUCCCGACUUACCAACCCGAUGCAAACUGCGAAUACCGGAGAAUGUUAUCACGGGAGACACACGGCGGGUGCUAACGUCCGUCGUGAAGAGGGAAACAACCCAGACCGCCAGCUAAGGUCCCAAAGUCAUGGUUAAGUGGGAAACGAUGUGGGAAGGCCCAGACAGCCAGGAUGUUGGCUUAGAAGCAGCCAUCAUUUAAAGAAAGCGUAAUAGCUCACUGGUCGAGUCGGCCUGCGCGGAAGAUGUAACGGGGCUAAACCAUGCACCGAAGCUGCGGCAGCGACACUAUGUGUUGUUGGGUAGGGGAGCGUUCUGUAAGCCUGUGAAGGUGUACUGUGAGGUAUGCUGGAGGUAUCAGAAGUGCGAAUGCUGACAUAAGUAACGAUAAAGCGGGUGAAAAGCCCGCUCGCCGGAAGACCAAGGGUUCCUGUCCAACGUUAAUCGGGGCAGGGUGAGUCGACCCCUAAGGCGAGGCCGAAAGGCGUAGUCGAUGGGAAACAGGUUAAUAUUCCUGUACUUGGUGUUACUGCGAAGGGGGGACGGAGAAGGCUAUGUUGGCCGGGCGACGGUUGUCCCGGUUUAAGCGUGUAGGCUGGUUUUCCAGGCAAAUCCGGAAAAUCAAGGCUGAGGCGUGAUGACGAGGCACUACGGUGCUGAAGCAACAAAUGCCCUGCUUCCAGGAAAAGCCUCUAAGCAUCAGGUAACAUCAAAUCGUACCCCAAACCGACACAGGUGGUCAGGUAGAGAAUACCAAGGCGCUUGAGAGAACUCGGGUGAAGGAACUAGGCAAAAUGGUGCCGUAACUUCGGGAGAAGGCACGCUGAUAUGUAGGUGAAGUCCCUCGCGGAUGGAGCUGAAAUCAGUCGAAGAUACCAGCUGGCUGCAACUGUUUAUUAAAAACACAGCACUGUGCAAACACGAAAGUGGACGUAUACGGUGUGACGCCUGCCCGGUGCCGGAAGGUUAAUUGAUGGGGUCAGCGCAAGCGAAGCUCUUGAUCGAAGCCCCGGUAAACGGCGGCCGUAACUAUAACGGUCCUAAGGUAGCGAAAUUCCUUGUCGGGUAAGUUCCGACCUGCACGAAUGGCGUAAUGAUGGCCAGGCUGUCUCCACCCGAGACUCAGUGAAAUUGAACUCGCUGUGAAGAUGCAGUGUACCCGCGGCAAGACGGAAAGACCCCGUGAACCUUUACUAUAGCUUGACACUGAACAUUGAGCCUUGAUGUGUAGGAUAGGUGGGAGGCUUUGAAGUGUGGACGCCAGUCUGCAUGGAGCCGACCUUGAAAUACCACCCUUUAAUGUUUGAUGUUCUAACGUGGACCCGUAAUCCGGGUUGCGGACAGUGUCUGGUGGGUAGUUUGACUGGGGCGGUCUCCUCCUAAAGAGUAACGGAGGAGCACGAAGGUUGGCUAAUCCUGGUCGGACAUCAGGAGGUUAGUGCAAUGGCAUAAGCCAGCUUGACUGCGAGCGUGACGGCGCGAGCAGGUGCGAAAGCAGGUCAUAGUGAUCCGGUGGUUCUGAAUGGAAGGGCCAUCGCUCAACGGAUAAAAGGUACUCCGGGGAUAACAGGCUGAUACCGCCCAAGAGUUCAUAUCGACGGCGGUGUUUGGCACCUCGAUGUCGGCUCAUCACAUCCUGGGGCUGAAGUAGGUCCCAAGGGUAUGGCUGUUCGCCAUUUAAAGUGGUACGCGAGCUGGGUUUAGAACGUCGUGAGACAGUUCGGUCCCUAUCUGCCGUGGGCGCUGGAGAACUGAGGGGGGCUGCUCCUAGUACGAGAGGACCGGAGUGGACGCAUCACUGGUGUUCGGGUUGUCAUGCCAAUGGCACUGCCCGGUAGCUAAAUGCGGAAGAGAUAAGUGCUGAAAGCAUCUAAGCACGAAACUUGCCCCGAGAUGAGUUCUCCCUGACCCUUUAAGGGUCCUGAAGGAACGUUGAAGACGACGACGUUGAUAGGCCGGGUGUGUAAGCGCAGCGAUGCGUUGAGCUAACCGGUACUAAUGAACCGUGAGGCUUAACCUU